GAUAGACUCUCGAAACACAAACAACUCGAGACUAUUUUUUUCAGUUUAUAGCUUUGUAAGGAAAUAAACUUGAGCGAUGAGAAUGCUUGCUAUCCGAAGUGAGAAAACCGUGACAGAAUUCGAGGCCAGCCUGCAAGUCCUCUUCAUCAUCGUCUGAACAGCUGAAGAAGACUCGCGGUAAGCAGUCGAAACGUUGCGAUCCACAUCCGAAGUUCAUCCAGGGACGAACGGUCACACAUUACAUGGAAAGUGUAUUCACUUCAACUAUAAACCGAAAUUUUUCAACGUGAUUUUGAAAAAAGAAUCUCACGCAGGUGCCUCAUUAAUGCGAGCUAACGCUAUAAGCUCGCAAUCGUUUAUCCGACCGGCCAUGUUUGAGUUGGAGCUAGAGUGGAUGGUUGAGGUAGAGGGUAGGGGGCUGGGGAACGGCGAAAAAAAAACUCUGCACGCUUUUUAUUAACAAUUUACACACUAACAUCAGUAAAGGUUUUCUCCAUACUGUUUCCAUACGUUCUUUAAGGUGCUGACAGGGAGAGUUUGUUUAACAAUCAAAAGCUUCUUUAGCUGCUGAUAAUUUUCUUUAUUCUCGUGACCUUACUGCAUGAUUCAGAGGUGAUAUUGUAAGGAGAAAUCAGAUGUUAGUCACUCUUAGGUGUUAAAGGGUUAAACUUGGAGCGUGACGAAUUCGUUCUUAGCAGGCGUAGGCUUCUUCUUUUACGAAUCCCGUAUUGAUCCGUAUUUAGACCUUUUUACGCCUGUUUCGCCGUGUUAUAUGACUGUGGAUGGCAAACAAACUAAACAAAUUGCGAGCCGAACAAGAUACAGACUAAACAAACCCAGGAAAAAGCGACGCAUUUUAUUUUUGGACCUGUCAUUUUUAAGUAAGGCAGCCCUGACUUCAAAUAGAUUUGCAUAAUUCUGGAAGUGCUACAGCUGAUUGCUUCUUCAACACCUGGCGUUGAAUCCUGUAUUGAAUAAAGGUGUUAUUUAUUGAACUGUUUUUCAUGCAAACCCAGCUAGCAGUCUUUGACUAACUAUAGCCUUGUGCAAUCACUUCACCGAAUUCCCUAUGUCCCCCAGACGGAAAAUUUGGUCUUGUUUGAUUGAUGGUUUAUCUAAAGUUGUCGAUGAAAAUUCAACCCUUUGAACAAGUCGUUGAUUGAAAAUUCAAUUCUUUGAAUAAAUUGAAAAUUGAGGCAAACGUAGCUUAAAUACUCAAGCUUAAGACGCAAUCCGUGAAACUUGCAGAUUUUUCCUGAGCAACUACCACAUUGUUCUUUUGAUAGACUGUAAUACCGGCGGAUAAACAAAAUCAGGGGUGCUGGCUCGCUAGUUUUCUAUCACAGUUUCUCGGUAAGUUGCUUAGCAGGAACUCGCGGUUAAAUUGGUCGAAAGUUGGCAGUAAAAUGCAGAUGCCAAGUCGCGUUAUGCACGUGCACGGCCGUGCGCCAUGGAGACGUAGACCCUUACAGCUCAAUAGGAGUGAAAUAAGAAAAUCACACGCGCACGUUAUAAUUUAUCCUUAAGCACGGAGUAGCAGCCAUUAGUAAACACGCCCCUUAAGCACGCGAAUCUUAAUUUCUUGACUGCGCUUCAGUAUAAAACAGAAUUCUCGAGAGGUUUUAGCGAGCUCUUGAGUCUUAGAAAAAUAUGAAGAUCUCCAUGAAAUAUUGUUGUUUGUCUCACGAUGUCUUAACUUACGACGUAAAUCGUGAAGUUUCGAUUGCACGCCUUCUUCGUCGCUUGAAGGUAAUACGCCUUAUGCAGUGGAGACGUCAAGAUAUACUUUCGAAGUGAGAGGACGCAAAGAAAUUUAUAAAGAUUUGUAACGCACGUACACAGCCAUCGUUCCUGCUCAUUACCCUUUUUGUUGACGUUUCCGUUGCCGUUGCCGUUGCCGUCGUGGUUUCAAGUGGUUCUCUCAAACCCCCUAGUGUUCUUCUCACGACAACUCGAUCUAAAGAAGGCCAUGCUGCGAAAUUUCGUGGGGUUCUUCUUAAAUAACAUGAUUUUUAGGAAGACCACUGCAACGACUGAGCAGAAACUCGAGAAAAUUUCCCGAGCAAUACCGAUCUUUACAGUUAGGGAUUCAAACCAGUAAAUGACUUAGCGUUAUUAUUCCUCAAUUACACCAUUUCACCAUAUUGGAGCACUGGAGCGCUCUCAGAAACAAAUAUGUUGCUUCACAGCCUACGAGGCAAGAGGCAAGGAACACUCCCUUUAUUUUUUCGUUAAAACGCUCUGCGGCGUUGGGUCGAAAAUCUAGUUGUAAAAUUGAAAGACAGAGCAAAACCUAUUUCUUUCGCGACCCCGCGCGCGUAAGGAGAACCGCUGACAUAUCGUCAUUAGCUUUUUCCUCUCCGAACGAUCAAACGAAGAGCUCUUAACACUUUCUCUCCUUUCUUUCCAUUUUGCUGAUAAAAUCAUGAAAUUCAAAAGGCACAUUACAGACUUUCAAACAUGAUUUAUUGAUAUUUUUACAAACAAAUGCGUUGUUGACAGUACACUUAUUAUAGAAUAUCCUCGUUGUUCUCAACUAUUUAUUCCUAUACUGUUCACAUUUUUCCAUUUUCCCAGGGAAAUAAUCGCCAGGGGGAGAAUGAAUGAACGCGAAUACUCGCGAGCCCUGCUCACUUUCCUUUGGACACACAACUCGGGCACUCUCACGUGACACUUGGCCCAUUAUUCAUUAAUCGAGUUUUACUCAGGAGGCAAAACGAGUUAUAAUCAAUACAACCUGUUGGCAUUAUCUUAUCAAUCACGUCAGCCAAAAUUCAGAGUUAAAUAACUGUUAUAAUAUUCCUAAUUUUUGAAUGAGAGUUUGACUUCACAGAAAACUUUUUUCCAAUGUAACAACAAUCCAGUAAUUUCAGCACUAUUUUUCAAACUCCUUCAAAUGAAAUGGGUAAUAAUCAGGCAUGCAAAAAUUAACCCUAGAUGUAAGCACAGUGCGAGGCAUUCUUCUGUUUUAGGCCUUCAACUUAGCCAACAUCUCCUCGAUAUCUGCAUCCGAUGUUCCCUUGGAAGCUGCCGCCCGUUGUCCUGUUGGUAAUUUACCGCCAUGCGCGGAAGGUGCUUCUGCCAUCUAAACAAAUGAAUGCUCGUUUAUUUAAAGGAAU